rnacentral:rRNA from 1 species
UACGUAGGGUGCAAGCGUUAAUCGGAAUUACUGGGCGUAAAGCGUGCGCAGGCGGUUAUGUAAGACAGAUGUGAAAUGCCCGGGCUUAACCUGGGAACUGCAUUUGUGACUGCAUGGCUAGAGUUUGGCAGAGGGGGGUAGAAUUCCACGUGUAGCAGUGAAAUGCGUAGAGAUGUGGAGGAACACCGAUGGCGAAGGCAGCCUCCUGGGCCAGCACUGACGCG